rnacentral:rRNA from 1 species
UACGUAGGGUGCAAGCGUUAAUCGGAAUUACUGGGCGUAAAGCGUGCGCAGGCGGUUCGCUGUGUCCUGUGUGAAAGCCCCGGGCUUAACCUGGGAAUGGCAUGGGAAACUAGCGGGCUGGAGUGUGGCAGAGGGGGGUGGAAUUCCGCGUGUAGCAGUGAAAUGCGUAGAGAUGCGGAGGAACACCGAUGGCGAAGGCAGCCCCCUGGGCUAACACUGACGCUCAGGCACGAAAGCGUGGGGAGCAAACAGG